GCCUUGGGUGAUAGAUACUAUUGGAGAGGCAUGGAAGCAAUUUAAGAAACGCAUAAAGAAAUAUCACUAUACACCGUACAACUCAUUUAGAGAGAUGAUGAAAAAUCGUCCAAUGACUGUACCUGAACUACAUUUUCAAAAAUUAGUUCAAUUUUGGAGGCUUGAUAUCAUCAAAGUUAUUUCUGACAAAAAUCGUGAAAACAGAUCCAAGCAAAAAUGGAAUCAUCGAAUGGGUCCAGUUAGUUUUGAAUUAGUAUGCACUGAAUUGCGUGCAAAGAAGGAGGACAAUGAAGAUCCAUCAAUCUGAGAUGUUUGUUGUAACUCGUACGAGCAAAAAAGGAGAGACUGAUUCGGGAAUACAAGAGACAAUUGAACAUCUUCAAAAUUUGAAAGAAGCAUGAUACAAUGAUGAUGAAGCAGUUCAAACAGUUUUCAGAAAGGAGAGACAUGGAAGAGUUCGUUUCUAUGAUCGAUCAGUCACAAAAUCCUCUCUUAAAAAGGAGAAGAAAAUCCGACAAAUGUAGCAACAACAUAAUGAAGUGGUUUCAACUAUGGAGAAAAAUCAAAAUAACUUAACUUCCAAGUUGGAUGGUUUAACAAACUUGAUUAAAACAUUAUUGCAACAAGUCAAUCCUGGUAUGAGUGCAGAACAAGUGCAAGUAAUGAUAGAAGCCGCCCAACAAUCUCCACCUGACGCGAGUAGUGCACCAAAUGAUGCGCGGCGAAGCAUUCCUCCUUCACUUGGAUCGAACCAUGUAUCAAAGGAUAUGGAUGAAGACAUGAUAUGAUGAAGAAAAUAUAUUCCAUACAAAUAUCACAUGGGAUGGGUCUUACAAUGACUUUAGUUAUGUAAAUGUAAUAUUUUGAUGUGUUAUGUACUUUUUGAGGUAUUACAUGUAAUUGAAAAAAUUACACUCUAUUUUGAUUUGUGUUGUUUAGACUAAAAAUUGAACAUAUCUAUCUUAUAAUG